rnacentral:rRNA from 1 species
AAGCGGNAGAGCUCAAAUUUGAAAGCUGGCCCCUUCGGGGUCCGCGUUGUAAUUUGCAGAGGAUGCUUCGGGUGCAGCCCCCGUCUAAGUGCCCUGGAACGGGCCGUCAUAGAGGGUGAGAAUCCCGUCUGGGACGGGGUGUCUGCGUCCGUGUGAAGCUCCUUCGACGAGUCGAGUUGUUUGGGAAUGCAGCUCUAAAUGGGUGGUAAAUUUCAUCUAAAGCUAAAUACUGGCCGGAGACCGAUAGCGCACAAGUAGAGUGAUCGAAAGAUGAAAAGCACUUUGAAAAGAGAGUUAAACAGCACGUGAAAUUGUUGAAAGGGAAGCGUUUGCGACCAGACUCGCCCGCGGGGUUCAGCCGGCAUUCGUGCCGGUGUACUUCCCCGUGGGCGGGCCAGCGUCGGUUUGGGCGGCCGGUCAAAGGCCCUCGGAAUGUAUCACCUCUCGGGGUGUCUUAUAGCCGAGGGUGCAAUGCGGCCUGCCUGGACCGAGGAACGCGCUUCGGCUCGGACGCUGGCGUAAUGGUCGUAAAUGACCCGUCUUGAAACACGGGACCA